rnacentral:rRNA from 1 species
AGUGAACGCUGGUGGUAGGCCUAACACAUGCAAGUCGAACGGCAGCACCGUAAGAGCUUGCUCUUACGGGUGGCGAGUGGCGGACGGGUGAGGAAUAUAUCGGAAUCUAUUUUUUCGUGGGGGAUAACGUAGGGAAACUUACGCUAAUACCGCAUACGACCUACGGGUGAAAGCAGGGGAUCUUUGGACCUUGCGCGAUUGAAUGCGCCGAUGUUGGAUUUGCUAGUUGGGGGGGUAAAGGCCCACCAAGGCGGCGAUCGGUAGCUGGACUGAGUGGAUGGUCGGCCGCACUAGAACGUAGCCACGCUCCAUGCUCCUACGAGAGGGCCCAGUGGGGAAUAUUGGACAAUGGUCGCAAGCCUGAUCCAGCCGUACCGCGUGGGUUGAAAAAGCCCUCGGGUUGGAAAGCCCUUUUGUUGGGAGAGAAAAGCAGCAGGUUAAUACCCCGCUGUUCUGACGGUACCCAAAAAAUAAGCACCGGCUAACUACGUG